AUUGAACGCUGGCGGCAGGCCUAACACAUGCAAGUCGAACGAGAGGCGGACGGGAGGCCAAUGUAUCGGACACUUACUGAGGGCGGGGGAUAAAUAACGGAAACGGAAGCCAAUACCGUAUACCAGCGUAUGUGCCGAGAUGGGAUUAGCUAGGAGGUGGGGCAAAGGAUGACCUAGGUGACGAUCCCUAGCUGGUCUGAGAGGAUGAACAGCCACCCUGGAACGGAGACACGGUCCAGACGCCUACGGGAGGCAGGAGUGGGGAAUAUUGCACAAUGGGCGAAAGCCUGAUGCAGCCAUGCCGCGUGUAUGAAGAAGGUCUUCGGAUUGUAAAGUACUUUAAGAGGGGAGGCGUUACCAACAGAAGAAGCACCGGCUAACUCCGUGACAGCAGCCGCGGUAAUUC
rnacentral:rRNA from 1 species